rnacentral:rRNA from 1 species
GAUGAACGCUGGCGGCGUGCCUAAUACAUGCAAGUCGAGCGAACAGAUGAGGAGCUUGCUCCUCUGACGUUAGCGGCGGACGGGUGAGUAACACGUGGAUAACCUACCUAUAAGACUGGGAUAACUUCGGGAAACCGGAGCUAAUACCGGAUAAUAUAUUGAACCGCAUGGUUCAAUAGUGAAAGACGGUUUUGCUGUCACUUAUAGAUGGAUCCGCGCCGCAUUAGCUAGUUGGUAAGGUAACGGCUUACCAAGGCAACGAUGCGUAGCCGACCUGAGAGGGGGAGGCGGACAGCGGGAGUGGAAGGAGGGACAGGGACCGUGCGGAGGGCAACAGUGGGAAGUGAGGCAGAAGGGGGGAAGACCGGACGAGGGGAGGACGCGUGAUGGAGGGAGGUCUUGGGGUCGAAAAACGUUUUUGUUGGGGAAAAACAAAUGGGUAGGGAACAAGCCGCGUUUGGGGGGAACUUGAUAAGAAGGCCAGGGUAAAUAAGGG